rnacentral:rRNA from 1 species
GAUCCUGGCUCAGGACGAACGCUGGCGGCGUGCCUAAUACAUGCAAGUUGAACGCUUGAUUUUCACCGAAGCUUGCUUCACCGAAAAUCAAGAGUAGCGAACGGGUGAGUAACGCGUGGGUAACCUACCUAUCAGCGGGGGAUAACUAUUGGAAACGAUAGCUAAUACCGCAUAACAAUGUUGGAUGCAUAUUCGACAUUUGAAAGUACCAACUGGUACACUGAGAGAUGGACCCGCGUUGUAUUAG